rnacentral:rRNA from 1 species
UGGGGAAUUUUGGACAAUGGGCGAAAGCCUGAUCCAGCAAUGCCGCGUGUGUGAAGAAGGCCUUCGGGUUGUAAAGCACUUUUGUCCGGAAAGAAAUCCUUGGCUCUAAUACAGUCGGGGGAUGACGGUACCGGAAGAAUAAGCACCGGCUAACUACGUGCCAGCAGCCGCGGUAAUACGUAGGGUGCAAGCGUUAAUCGGAAUUACUGGGCGUAAAGCGUGCGCAGGCGGUUUGCUAAGACCGAUGUGAAAUCCCCGGGCUCAACCUGGGAACUGCAUUGGUGACUGGCAGGCUAGAGUAUGGCAGAGGGGGGUAGAAUUCCACGUGUAGCAGUGAAAUGCGUAGAGAUGUGGAGGAAUACCGAUGGCGAAGGCAGCCCCCUGGGGCCAAAUACUGACGCUCAUGCACGAAAGCGUGGGGAGCAAACAGGAUUAGAUACCCUGGUAGUCCACGCCCUAAACGAUGUCAACUAGUUGUUGGGGACUCAUUUCCUUAGUAACGUAGCUAACGCGUGAAGUUGACCGCCUGGGGAGUACGGUCGCAAGAUUAAAACUUAAAUGAAUUGACGGGGUCAUAGCUGUUUCCU